AAAAGCUUGAAGUGUGUGUGCUGCAUAAAUGAUGAGCGACAUGGGAGUUGUUGAGAUGCCCAUAAUGAAGGUAAAUCUCUUUGGCUGUGUCCGAAUGCCCAUAAUACAUCCUAAAUAGUAGCCUGUUUGAGUUUGCGAUAAAAUUAAGUUUUAUAAUAUGUUAAUUUUCCAAUAUCGAAUAUGUUUUAAAUGCCAGGAUGUUAUACUCAUUUUGGCUUUUCAUUUAGUAGGAUUCGCUGCAUACAUUUAGGGAAUUUCACAGCCACAAUGCAUUGGAAGAAUGGGGCUGCAAGUUUUAAUAGCUAGAUCUCUUCAAGUAAACAACAAAACAACUUGGAAGAUUGCGAAUACCGAAGCCUCUGCGGUGGUUCUCAAAUGUGUUGAAAGCUCCCCCCACCGGAGUCAGCACGGAGGGAGGGGAGGCCACAGCCACAUCCUGGAAGUGGUAUGUGGGGAUGGGUGAGGCGCUGCAGGGGCUCUCACUCUAUCACCCCACCAGUCAUCAUCUCUUCUGUUCUUCUGUUUUUGGUGAAGUCCUUUAAACUCAAAGUGGAUUUCUGUUUUCUCAUUGAAAAGUGUUUGUUUGUAAUAAAAUAAAAAAAUUGAUACCAG
rnacentral:lncRNA from 1 species